rnacentral:rRNA from 1 species
CCAGCAUGAGUUAUGUCAUGUUAUCGAUAUGUGAAUACAUAGCAUAUCAGAAGGCACACCCGGAGAACUGAAACAUCUUAGUACCCGGAGGAAGAAAAAGAAAAUUCGAUUCCCUUAGUAGCGGCGAGCGAAACGGGAAGAGCCCAAACCAACAAGCUUGCUUGUUGGGGUUGUAGGACACUCUAUACGGAGUUACAAAGGACGACAUUAGACGAAUCAUCUGGAAAGAUGAAUCAAAGAAGGUAAUA